rnacentral:rRNA from 1 species
UACGUAGGGUGCGAGCGUUGUCCGGAAUUAUUGGGCGUAAAGAGCUCGUAGGCGGUCUGUCGCGUCUGCUGUGAAAUCCCGAGGCUCAACCUCGGGCUUGCAGUGGGUACGGGCAGGCUAGAGUGCGGUAGGGGAGACUGGAAUUCCUGGUGUAGCGGUGAAAUGCGCAGAUAUCAGGAGGAACACCGGUGGCGAAGGCGGGUCUCUGGGCCGAUACUGACGCUGAGGAGCGAAAGCGUGGGUAGCGAACAGG